UGAGGAAUAUUGCACAAUGGGCGCAAGCCUGAUGCAGCGACGCCGCGUGUGGGAUGAAGGGGCUACGCCUCGUAAACCACUGUAGCCCGGGACGAAAAACGCCUUAGAGGCGUUAGACGGUACCGGGAAAGUAAGGGUCGGCUAACUACGUGCCAGCAGCCGCGGUAAUACGUAGGACCCAAGCGUUGUCCGGAUUUACUGGGUGUAAAGGGUGCGCAGGCGGAUGGGUAAGUCAGGGGUGAAAGUCUGCAGCUUAACUGUAGAAUUGCCUUUGAUACUGCUCAUCUUGAGUGUGGGAGAGGUUGAUGGAAUUCCAGGUGUAGCAGUGAAAUGCGUAGAUAUCGGGAGGAACAUCUGUGGCGAAGGCGACUGCCUGGACCAGCACUGACACUGAGGCACGAAAGCGUGGGGAGCAAACA
rnacentral:rRNA from 1 species